rnacentral:misc_RNA from 1 species
CCUAAGCGAUAAUUGGUGCUUGGUCGGAAAUUGCUCCUGCAUUUUCGACAUUCGGUACAUCCGUGUACCUUUUGAGUGUUCACACAGAUUGCUUGUUCAUAGAGCAGGCCGUUGACCCUGGUAGGUCAAUGUGUUCUUUAACAAUUUGGAAAGCUGAUAGUAGACAUCAAAACCAACUCUUCGGAGUGGAUUUGAUGCAUACAAAUUGAGUUCUCAAACACUUCAAUCAAGUGUUUUGGAAAUUCUUCAAGGCGAGUCCACUUCCUUAACCCGGAGGUGAGACAAGUAAACCUAAGCCGGUUGCAAUACAACCCGUGUUUUCCGCUAUGUUACCGAUAAGGUAGCGCAGUCAGGCGACAUGGUGUCUAAGCGGUGAUUUGAGUGAGGAAGGAGUGUAGCAGCGCUACAUGACUGACGAAUGAAAAGCACAAUAACGACAACAUGAGUACUGACAAGCGAGAUGAAAACUCAUCCGGGUUGUAU